AUGAAUGCUGGCGGCGUGCCUAAUACAUGCAAGUCGAGCGGUAACAGGGCUUCACCGUGUUCUUGACACACUUGGCCAGAGUGCAAGUGGUAGGUCUCGAGGACACAGUGAAGCUGCUGACGAGCGGCGGACGGCUGAGUAACGCGUGGGAACGGACCCCAAACUGAGGGAUAACUACUCGAAAGAGUGGCUAAUACCGCAUGUGAUCUUCGGAUUAAAGGAUUUAUCCGGUUUGGGACUGGCUCGCGUCUGAUUAGAUAGUUGGUGAGGUAACGGCUCACCAAGUCGACGAUCAGUAGCCGGACUGAGAGGUUGAACGGCCACAUUGGAACUGAGAAACGGUCCAGACUCCUACGGGAGGCAGCAGUGGGGAAUAUUGGGCAAUGGGGGAAACCCUGACCCAGCAACGCCGCGUGAAGGAAGAAGGCCUUCGGGUUGUAAACUUCUUUUACCAGGGACGAAGAACGUGACGGUACCUGGAGAAAAAGCAACGGCUAACUACGUG
rnacentral:rRNA from 1 species